UGGGGAAUCUUGGACAAUGGGCGCAAGCCUGAUCCAGCCAUGCCGCGUGUGUGAAGAAGGUCUUCGGAUUGUAAAGCACUUUAAGUUGGGAGGAAGGGUUGUAGAUUAAUACUCUGCAAUUUUGACGUUACCGACAGAAUAAGCACCGGCUAACUCUGUGCCAGCAGCCGCGGUAAUACAGAGGGUGCAAGCGUUAAUCGGAAUUACUGGGCGUAAAGCGCGCGUAGGUGGUUUGUUAAGUUGGAUGUGAAAUCCCCGGGCUCAACCUGGGAACUGCAUUCAAAACUGACAAGCUAGAGUAUGGUAGAGGGUGGUGGAAUUUCCUGUGUAGCGGUGAAAUGCGUAGAUAUAGGAAGGAACACCAGUGGCGAAGGCGACCACCUGGACUGAUACUGACACUGAGGUGCGAAAGCGUGGGGAGCAAACAGGAUUAGAUACCCAAGUAGUCCCUGAGCGGGCUGGCAAGGCGCAU
rnacentral:rRNA from 1 species